UACGAAGGUCCCGAGCGUUAUCCGGAUUCAUUGGGUUUAAAGGGUGCGUAGGUGGAAUGAUAAGUCAGUGGUGAAAUCUUGCAGCUUAACUGUAAAACUGCCAUUGAUACUGUCGUUCUUGAGUAUAGUUGAUGUGGGCGGAAUAUGUCAUGUAGUGGUGAAAUACUUAGAUAUGACAUAGAACACCGAUUGCGAAGGCAGCUCACAAAGCUACAACUGACACUGAGGCACGAAAGCGUGGGGAUCAAACAGG
rnacentral:rRNA from 1 species